rnacentral:tRNA from 1 species
UCUUACUUAGGUUAAAAUGAAACCUUUAAUUUGUGGUAUUAACAAUAUAUUUAUAUAGUGAGAA